UCAUAUAUAUAGCGUGCAUCCCAUCCAAGGCUGGCUUUAGGAACUGUGGGGCCCGAUCUGAAUACCCAGCGGCAGUCCAAGUCUUCGGCGGUGGGGGGUCUUUCACUUGCUCUGGACCCCCCGCCGCCAAAAUGUCACCGAAGACCCGGAGCAAGUGAAGGACCCUCCACUGCCAAAGUGCCUCCAAAGACCUGGACCGCCACCAGAUCAUCAAUUCUGGCAAAGGGAGAAAAAACACUACUUGGUGUCACAAUGUGACUUUUUGUCAGAGGGCUGCUCCAGAAUCCAAGCUGACAAGUGCACAAGAGAAUUGCUUGCAGGCCAGACCUUCCCACAUUGUGCAAGAACUUGAAACCGGAAUUGACUAGCUUAUUUCCAUUGUCAAACCUAGGAGAAAUGCUAAAAAAAUAUCAGAUCUUGCUUGCCAACUCUGUUUAUAUUGCAAAAACUCAUGGGAUUAUAACUUUACAAAAGGUGACAGAAACAUGGCCAAUUGAGAAGGGAAGGCAUUUUUAGUAGACCACCUACAACUCUGCUUGUUGUGUUUGAACAUCUGUUUAACUCAAGCUUCUGAAAAAAACACUUGGUAUCAAAGCUCUUAAAAGAUUUUAAGGUUUCAGAAACCAGCCUUUCAAAUGAGGGAAGAAGCAGUUCUCACUUGAGUUCCCUGGCCCUUCAAGGAAUCUUCAAGCCGACGUGUGGAAAACUAGUUCAACAGCACAAUUUUUAUUCCCUCUUAGCAGGUCACCUUUAAAGUGAUUUCAAGGAGGCACAGUGUUUGAACCCAGACUAUUCAAUCUGAUGUGCUGACUCAGUCCUGGGGAUUUCUCAGAGUGGUUUUCCUGGUCUACCAACCAGCAGGGGAGCUACGCAGUGGACUGAAACCAGCCCGGCUGCGCAAUGACAGACAGCCUAAUACUAAAUACAUUUUUUAAAAACUUUAAGAACCAUGAAUAGACUCCAAGUGUGCUAACUAAAAUAGUGAACACACAUGACCAUGAAGUGAAAAGGACAUAGGAGAACAAAGUUUCCAGAUCUCCUGUUCACAGUGUUCUAAAAGGGCAGUGUACAUCCGAAGCUUGGUCUGACCUUUCACUGCUGGAAGGGAGCUAGCAUCCCAGAAAGUUCCUAGUUAGAUGCUGAAAGCAUGUGCACUCCCUGGAGGGGGUAUCUAGCAAUCUAAGGAGGAGUUGGAUUUCUUGGGAUAUUAGUAUAGUAAAUAGGGAUUUUGUGAAGCUUCAGGAAAUAUAUUGAGGGUAUUGCAUUACUGGGAAGACCAGUGCUUUGAAAACUUGCCAAAACCACAAAUCUAGUUGUGCAUUUCCUUAAUCAGUAGUGACUUACCUAAUUUAUCUGUAUAAUCAAGUUUGAAAAGAAUCAUUGAUUCGUGGCACAAAUACAUAAAGAUAUAAACUAGAGGGAAUCUAAAUUUGUGCAAGUUUAGUCUGCAGAGAU